rnacentral:rRNA from 11 species
GUCACCAACUCAAUGUCCUAACGGCACCAGUCCCUGUCUGAUCUUGGAAGCCAAGCAGGGUCAGCUCUGGUUAGUACUUAGAUGGAAAACCACCAAUAAAUCCCAAGUAGUGUUGAUGAUA